UCUGAAGGUACUUGCUGGAUGUAAGGCUGCUGCCUUCCGAAAAGUGGAGUUGGAUGCCUGACUGCCAAUUAAGAACCAAGAUAGAAAGGAAAGCUCCACAGAAGACAUCAUGCACUGCUCUGCUGCUUCAGGCAGAUAAAGAUUUCUGUACUGAGGUGUUCCUCUGCCUGCAGA
rnacentral:lncRNA from 12 species